GAUGCAUCAUUCAAAUAUCUGCCCUAUCAACUUUCGAUGGUAGGAUAGUGGCCUACCAUGGUUUUAACGGGUAACGGGGAAUAAGGGUUCGAUUCCGGAGAGGGAGCCUGAGAAACGGCUACCACAUCCAAGGAAGGCAGCAGGCGCGCAAAUUACCCAAUCCCGACACGGGGAGGUAGUGACAAUAAAUAACAAUAUAGGGCUCUUUUGGGUCUUAUAAUUGGAAUGAGUACAAUUUAAAUCUCUUAACGAGGAACAAUUGGAGGGCAAGUCUGGUGCCAGCAGCCGCGGUAAUUCCAGCUCCAAUAGCGUAUAUUAAAGUUGUUGCAGUUAAAAAGCUCGUAGUUGAACUUCAGAUCUGGUUGAGUGGUCCGCCUAACGGUGUGUUACUGCUUGACUGGGUCUUGUCUCUUGGUGAACCGUUGUGUUCUUUAUUGGAUGCUUCGGGGAACCAGGACUUUUACCUUGAGAAAAUUAGAGUGUUCAAAGCAGGCCUAUGCCCGAAUACAUUAGCAUGGAAUAAUAGAA
rnacentral:rRNA from 1 species